rnacentral:rRNA from 1 species
AGAGUUUGAUCCUGGCUCAGGAUGAACGCUAGCUACAGGCUUAACACAUGCAAGUCGAGGGGCAGCAUUGGAGUAGCAAUACUUCAGAUGGCGACCGGCGCACGGGUGAGUAACACGUAUCCAACCCGCCGCUUACUCGGGGAUAGCCUUUCGAAAGAAAGAUUAAUACCCGAUGGUAUAAAGAGUUCGCAUGUUCUCUUUAUUAAAGAAUUUCGGUAAGCGAUGGGGAUGCGUUCCAUUAGAUAGUUGGCGGGGUAACGGCCCACCAAGUCUACGAUGGAUAGGGGUUCUGAGAGGAGGGUCCCCCACAUUGGAACUGAGACACGGUCCAAACUCCUACGGGAGGCAGCAGUGAGGAAUAUUGGUCAAUGGACGAGAGUCUGAACCAGCCAAGUAGCGUGAAGGAUGACUGCCCUAUGGGUUGUAAACUUCUUUUAUAAGGGAAUAAAGUGAGGGACGUGUCCCUUUUUGUAUGUACCUUAUGAAUAAGGAUCGGCUAACUCCGUGCCAGCAGCCGCGGUAAUACGGAGGAUCCGAGCGUUAUCCGGAUUUAUUGGGUUUAAAGGGAGCGUAGGUUGACGUAUAAGUCAGCUGUGAAAGUUUACGGCUCAACCGUGAAAUUGCAGUUGAUACUGUAUGUCUUGAGUGUACAAGAGGUGGGCGGAAUUCGUGGUGUAGCGGUGAAAUGCUUAGAUAUCACGAAGAACUCCAAUUGCGAAGGCAGCUCACUGGGGUACAACUGACACUGAGGCUCGAAAGUGUGGGUAUCAAACAGGAUUAGAUACCCUGGUAGUCCACACAGUAAACGAUGAAUACUCGCUGUUUGCGAUAUACAGUAAGCGGCCAAGCGAAAGCAUUAAGUAUUCCACCUGGGGAGUACGCCGGCAACGGUGAAACUAAAACGAAUUGACGG